rnacentral:rRNA from 1 species
UACAGAGGGCUCAAGCGUUGUUCGGAUUCACUGGGCGUAAAGGGUGCGUAGGUGGCUUUGCAAGUUUGAUGUGAAAUCUCCGGGCUUAACCCGGAAAAUGCAUUGAAUACUCCAGAGCUGGAGGGUUGGAGAGGGGACUGGAAUUCUCGGUGUAGCAGUGAAAUGCGUAGAUAUCGAGAGGAACACCAGUGGCGAAGGCGAUGCCCUGGACAACACCUGACACUGAGACACGAAAGCUAGGGGAGCAAACAGG